GUGAAGAAAUAACUUACAAAAACAUUUUAUUUAAUAAUAAUUAUAGUUCUAGAUAAUAUAUAUAUAUUUAACAGAAUCGUCUGACAAUUUGUAAUUCUUAAAGGUUUUAACGUAAUAUGUGAAAAUAAGCUUCCGGUUAUACGACGUCAUUAGUGGCUUCCGCUUCCGGUAAGAACAGAACAGUUUAAACGAAGAUUGUAGAUGGAAACCAUGCAUACAUUCGACACAGAUCAUGGUGGGUUUCAGAGCGAUCUCUCCUGUCCUCCUUUAGGGAUCCCUCACAGUGAAGCAUGAGGAUCAGAGUACAGCUGGACUGUGGAAGUCUCUUUCUCCUACACAGUCAACAGAGAACACGUUCACACACAUCUAUGGAAAAGUUUUCCAUACUUCUGUAAUCUGGAUGAAGACACAAACCACCCUCUGAAGCUGCUACCAGAGUAUGUCUCUGUGGGUGUAGAACUUUUUAUUUUUCAAUAUUUACCUCCAGAAUUGACUUCAGUUUACUCUUUUUUUUGUGUACAUUUUCUGGGGCCAUCUGAAAUCGUCAAGUGUCUAAUUUUAUAUGCAAAACUUGUGCAGCCACAUACUGUAGUUUUAGGUUCCUCAGCUGUUAAUCCAAAACUGUUUCUGUUCAGAUAAAAGUUUGCUAAUUUCCCUUCA